rnacentral:rRNA from 1 species
UACGUAGGGAGCGAGCGUUGUCCGGAAUCAUUGGGCGUAAAGAGCGCGUAGGUGGAUCAAUUAGUCUGCUGUGAAAGUCAAAGGCUCAACCUUUGAAAGCCGGUGGAUACUGUUGAUCUAGAGUACGGAAGAGGCGAGUGGAAUUCCUGGUGUAGCGGUGGAAUGCGCAGAUAUCAGGAGGAACACCAAUAGCGAAGGCAGCUCGCUGGGACGUUACUGACACUGAGGCGCGAAAGCUAGGGGAGCGAACAGG